rnacentral:rRNA from 1 species
CACCGGCGGCUCGAGUGGUGGCCACUUUUAUUGGGUCUAAAGCGUCCGUAGCCGGCUUGGCAAGUCCCCUGGGAAAUCUGGCGGCUUAACCGUCAGGCGUCCAGAGGAUACUGCCAGGCUUGGGACCGGGAGAGGUGAGAGGUACCUCAGGGGUAGGGGUGAAAUCUUGUGAUCCCUGAGGGACCACCAGUGGCGAAGGCGUCUGACCAGAACGGAUCCGACGGUGAGGGACGAAAGCCAGGGGAGCAAAACGG